rnacentral:rRNA from 1 species
AUUGAACGCUGGCGGCAUGCCUUACACAUGCAAGUCGAACGGUAACAGGUCUUCGGAUGCUGACGAGUGGCGAACGGGUGAGUAAUACAUCGGAACGUGCCUAGUAGUGGGGGAUAACGACUCGAAAGAGUGGCUAAUACCGCAUGAGAACCACGGAUGAAAGCAGGGGAUCGCAAGGACUUGUGCUAACAGAGCGGCCGAUGGCAGAUUAGGUAGUUGGUGGGAUAAAAGCUUACCAAGCCGACGAUCUGUAGCUGGUCUGAGAGGACGAUCAGCCACACUGGGACUGAGACACGGCCCAGACUCCUACGGGAGGCAGCAGUGGGGAAUUUUGGACAAUGGGCGAAAGCCUGAUCCAGCAAUGCCGCGUGCAGGAUGAAGGCCUUCGGGUUGUAAACUGCUUUUGUACGGAACGAAAAGCCCCGGGUUAAUACCCUGGGGUCAUGACGGUACCGUAAGAAUAAGCACCGGCUAACUACGUGCCAGCAGCCGCAGUAA